rnacentral:rRNA from 1 species
UACCGAGGUGGCAAGCGUUGUUCGGAAUUACUGGGCGUAAAGGGCGCGUAGGUGGCCAUCUAAGUCAGACGUGAAAUCCCCCGGCUUAACCUGGGAACUGCGUCUGAUACUGGACGGCUUGAGUAUGGGAGAGGAAUGUAGAAUUCCAGGUGUAGCGGUGAAAUGCGUAGAUAUCUGGAGGAAUACCGGUGGCGAAGGCGGCAUUCUGGACCAUUACUGACACUGAAUCGCGAAAGCUAGGGGAGCAAACGGG